GACGGGUCGGUAACGCAGCCGGGCGCGGCGGCAUCCCGCUGAGGGCGCAGAGCCCUGGAGAGGGUCCCCCAGCGCUGGAAGCGGGUGUGCGCUCCCGCUGCACAGGGCACCGGCCGCUCCCGCAACGCCGGCACGGUGGGAUCAUUUGCAGUUAUCUGAACUAGAAUGUAACCAACUGAAAAGGUUUCAUUUUCUAACAGACUGUUGAGGAGAACCAUUGCCUGGAUGUCCAUCAUGUCUAAUUUUAUGGACCUACCUAAGGUAAUUUCCCAAAUCCAUGUCCACGUCUGUCAGAAAUCCAGACUAAAUGGAGACAGUGAACCUUUUAGAACCAAGCUGGAGGAACACUACUGCGCUCAGUCUAACUACUAUACCAAUAGACACUGAGGCUGCAUGAGAAGAAGUAUAAUGAGGAGACGAUUUCAGCAACACUAUUGGAGACAUGCUAUCAGUUUUUUUAGAUUCCAGAACAUUUCUUAAAAUUUAAGCCAAUUAACAAAAAAAGUUGGGGAGCUAACUGGUAAAAAACCUGGCUUUUCAAACUGAGUAUUCCCAUUAGUCUCCAGAUUACACUGAAUGCAAUACAAGUUUGUGAAAGCCUUCACUAAAUGAAAUCGGUUUACAUUCCACUAUCUUACUUUAAGAGGAUUAAUAAGUGUAGCUCUAUGCUGAAGCAAGUUCAUGUUUCUUGUUAGUUCCUUGGGGGGAGUUCAACUAUUUUAUCCUAGAAAAAGUUCAAGAGACUAUUCAGUCUUGAAGAGACCUUUAAUAAAAACCAUGAGAAAUAAGCUUUCUGAAGUGUGAU